UAAGAUCAGCAUCUCGAGGAAGCCUUGGGAGGGGCCCACUUAGAAGAGCAAGAAGAUCACCUAGCAGAAGUCCAGUUCGGUCUUCUAGAAGAAGCCUGAGCAGGAGUCCCUCUAUAUCACCUAGGAGAUCAGUAAGCAGGAGUCCAGUCCGAUCAUAUAUGAAGAGUGUGAGCAGGAGUCCUAUAAGAUCACCUAGGAGAUCAGUGAGCAGGAGUCCAGUCCGAUCAUCUAGGAAGAGUGUGAGCAGAAGUCCGAUUCGAUCAUCCAGGAGAAGUAUCAGCAGGAGUCCUGUUGGAGGAGAAAGA
rnacentral:lncRNA from 1 species